CUCUGAUUGGUGGAGAUGCAAGAGUACAAAUAUCGCGAGAUCUGAUAUUGCUCCUGGACUAUAUAAUGAGACACACGCUCUUUCAAAACUCAGAAAAGCUGCGGCGUGGAGGAGAGCUGGUUCUCUUCUUACUGGCAGUUUUCUGUAACUCCAGCCAUUUGCAGUAGACGCCUGAGGAGACAAGAAUUAUUUCUUGUUUUUAAAGAGAGGACCAAAUAAAAUUUCUGAUAUCCUAUGCCAAGUACAUGGGUUGAACUAUAAGCCCACUUUUGAAGAUAGGCUGGCUGGUCAGCAAGUCCCUGGUAUUUAUUUGUCUCCGUCUCAAAUAGACUGGUAUGUACUCUCACUUCUAAUAUUUUAUGUGAGUGGUAUGUAUUUGAAUUUGUAUUCUCAUGCUAGAAUAUCAAGUGCUUGUACCAACUGAACUAUCUUCCUGGCCCUGUGCUUUCUCCUCCUUUUUAAUUUUUAUUUUGGGAUCUCAAGGCCUGGAAAUGGGGCCAUAUAUAUUAGGAUAGAUCUUCUGUCCUCAUUUUCUCUAGAAAUGCCAUUAUGGACAUGCUUAGAGGUAAGUGUCCUAGGUAUUUCCAAAUCCAAUGAAACUCAACAAUGGAGAUGUAUAACCACAUUUCAUUUACCUAUUUGUGUCAUUUAUUUAUGAUUUUUCUUUUUCAGAAAUGUAAAACUGUAUCUCUGUAUAAUAACUUUUGAAUGUAGGUGCACGUAUAAACAAGAAGAAGGUGUCAGGAACCCUAGAGAUUGAGAUACAGGCAGUUGUGAGCAACCUGACCUGGGAACCAAACUCUGAUAUACUCUAAAAGCACUGACCCAUCUUUCCAAAUUAUAUUUGAAGGUAUUAUUUUGUAAAACUUUGAACUGUUAACUAUUUUCUUCUUAA
rnacentral:sRNA from 1 species